AUAGCGUACUGUAUGUGUAAAACAGCAGUUCUCAAAGUGUGCCUGGAGCAGCAUCAGCAACAUCACUUGGGAAAUGAGAAAAAUGCAGAUUCUCUGAUCCCACCUCUGACCUACAGAAUCAAAAACUCUAGAAGUGGGCCUCUGUAAGCUGUGUUUCAACCAGCCCUCCAGCUACAAAGCUGAGCACAGAACUAUGACUAUUCAAACACGUUGAAGAUACAACAGAGAAUGAAUAGCAAUGAAAGACAGUCUUGACUUGCUGCCAAGUUUACACGUGGGACGCCUACCACAGCAUGGCUGCCAAGCAGUGCCAUGUCCGCACCUGGGAUCCGAACCAGCGAACCCCGGGCCACCGAGAAGCGGAACGCGCGAACUUAACCGCUGCGCCACCGGGCCGGCCCCGCAAACAUGUUCUUAUGACUCUUUUGGAUCAUAUCUUGUACUUUCCCUUUAAAAAAAUGUGAUUUAUAAGUAAAUUAAAUGCACUUGAAUUCAGAGAUAACGUUCAAAUCCCCAACUAGUUUUUAUUUUAAAGAUCUUUAGACAGUGAGAUUAAGAAACCUCCUGUGUGAAGUGUUCAGCAAUCCUGUCUGCCAGGACCUUCUUUUGGAAAUUUGAUGGAUAAAACUGAGCUUUUGGUUAGGGAGCAUUAUGAUGGCCCUGAAGGGAUUACCAUCAUGUCAAUAAUUUACCUUUUUGUGAACCUACCAAACGAAAAUAACCAAUAUAAUCAUGUUUUAUUUAGCUGUUUCUUUUAUACUGCCUCUCCCUUCUCUAUAAUAAACCAUAUGUUCAUGCAGCUGUAAAAUAAAGGAAUAUCUUCAAAAUAUAUUUUUAUGAACUCCAAUUUGAAUAAAUGCAUGACUUGUCUGCAACCAGAGUGAGCAGUUACAUAUUUGGUGACUAAAAAUAUUUCCUCCACUAACUUGAUGCUAAAGUCUUAUAUUUUACCUUCAGAGAGACCUCCAGCAUGAAAAUGUUAAUUACUCUAGCUCAGGAUUUUCAAACUUGACACUCCAAUUGACAUUUUGGAUGAGAUAAUUCUUUGUUGUGGGGAGCUUUCCUGUGUAUUCUAGGACGUUUAGCAGCAUCUCUGGCCUCUUCCUACUAAAUGCCAGUGGCCAUUGCCCUCCCUUUUUCCUAAUUAUGAUAAUAAAAAAUGUCUCUAGACAUUGCCAAAUGACCCCUGAGGAGGCAAAAUUGCCUCUAAUUGAGAACCACAGCCCAAUAGACAAAAUUAUGUUACUUCACUUUCAGUCAUAGACAAAAUGAUUUUGUUUGUUCUGUCCACAUGGACAAAAAUCUGUAAGAAUAAGCUUCAAUAGAUAUUUGUCAUCAUUAUUAUUAUUAAAAAUAAAUUUACCCUUGCUAAAAAAAAAGCAAUAUAUGUUUGUUGCAGAUGAAAGCAUAAAAUACAGUUAAAACUAUCAGAAAAGAAUAAUCACUCUUAUUUCCAUGUUACAGAGACAACUAGCAUUAUUAUUCAUUAAUCUUCUUGAGCAAACUCUUCAAAAUGAAAAUAUACUGUAUAUAUUGCUUAGUAACUUGAUUAUUUUUAAAGUAAUAAUAUACGACAAAUAACUAUCCACCCACAGCAUAAUUUUAAUAGAAUAGCAUUCCACUGUAUGGCUUUACAAUUGGUGAGUCAUCCAUUCGUUUAGUAAAUACAGCGAACCUCUAUGUAUCAGGCACUGUGCUAGAUGCUAGGGAUAAAACUGCAAAAAAGAUAGAUGGACAAGAAAAUGCCCUCCUGAAGUUUGAGAGACAAACAAAGCAAGUAAAUGAAGUAAGAGAGAACAGGAAAUGGGCUUCUCUCUAGGAAGACAGGCCUUGGCAGCUAGGGGAGGUGGAUCAAGACAGAUGAGGAUAGAAAAGUGAAGAGUAGCUAAUGCUGAAGACAAACUGUUGUCCUAUUGAUAUGUUUCCCUCCAUGUAUUUAUCAUUAUAUUGCUUAAUAAACGAUUGAAGAAUUUAGAUUUGUACAUAAACUUGAACAUCUCCAAUCAUCCCUACCCCUGGUUUGGUAAGCUUUCUGCUACUCUUCCUCCCUCCCAAUUCCUCAAGAUGUGCAGAUAAAUGUUUGACAUCUUGUAGCUGUGUUCUUAACAGGUCUGGAUAU